AUAUGACCAACCAGAUCUCAAGUAGACAGGAACAAAUGAAGAUAUAGCGCAUAGAAAGACUUAUUCUUGGUGAUCAACUGCUAUUGACAUUUUUGAAUCGGGGCAAAUGUGGAGUGAAGAAAAACGUUUGCAACACAUCCAUUCCAGAGUGCUCUGACAGAUAAAACUGACACGCUUGAUGAGGACACAGUCAAAGCUUUAAAAGCCCGUGUGAUAAAGCAGUCUUCAAUUACUACGGUGUCUGAAUUGAAAGAAGAAGUCACCCUCCACUUAAACAUGUGACAUCUAAACUGUUUUGUGUUUUAGUUCAGCUUUUUAUAGGUUUAUCUUAAGUUGGUUAAAGGCAGAGUGCACUAUUUUUGAAAGCCAAUGUUAACAUUUGAAAUUACCUAAACAAACAUGUCUCUACCCCAAUAGAAUCUGGACCUUCUUUUGAUAGAGCCACCACACACAUACGCAACCCCGGCAAGGAUGUCAGUUAGUAGACACGCCCCUUACUGCUGGUUGGCUACAAGUGUGUUUUGGUAGUCGGCCCAAUUUCCUUUUCCAAAGCGUUUUUCAAACAUUGUGCACUCCGUCUUUAAAUUGCACUUAAACAUUUUUUUUUCAUUAACUUUUUAUGCAGAGAAUUACAUUAUGAUUAUUAUAUAAUCAUUGCUUAUGAAUAUUUAGUGAUUGCAUAUUCAUAGUGUACUUUUCAUUAAUACAUUUAAUGUUAAUGUUGUACAAUUUGAUAGAA